UUAGCGGCGGACGGGUGAGUAACACGUGGGCAACCUGCCKGUAARACKGGGAUAACUCCGGGAAACCGGGGCUAAUACCGGAUAAUAUCUWUUUAUACAUAUAAUUAGAUUGAAAGAUGGUUCUGCUAUCACUUACAGAUGGGCCCGCGGCGCAUUAGCUAGUUGGUGAGGUAACGGCUCACCAAGGCGACGAUGCGUAGCCGACCUGAGAGGGUGAUCGGCCACACUGGGACUGARACACGGCCCAGACUCCUACGGGAGGCAGCAGUAGGGAAUCUUCCGCAAUGGACGAAAGUCUGACGGASCAACGCCGCGUGAGUGAUGAAGGUUUUCGRAUCGUAAAACUCUGUUGUUAGGGAAGAACAAGUACCGGAGUAACUGCCGGUACCUUGACGGUACCUAACCAGAAAGCCACGGCUAACUACGUGCCAGCAGCCGCGGUAAUACGUAGGUGGCAAGCGUUGUCCGGAAUUAUUGGGCGUAAAGCGCGCGCAGGCGGUUCYUUAAGUCUGAUGUGAAAGCCCACGGCUCAACCGUGGAGGGUCAUUGGAAACUGGGGAACUUGAGUGCAGAAGAGGAAAGUGGAAUUCCAAGUGUAGCGGUGAAAUGCGUAGAGAUUUGGAGGAACACCAGUGGCGAAGGCGACUUUCUGGUCUGUAACUGACGCUGAGGCGCGAAAGCGUGGGGAGCAAACAGGAUUAGAUACCCUGGUAGUCCACGCCGUAAACGAUGAGUGCUAAGUGUUAGAGGGUUUCCGCCCUUUAGUGCUGCAGCAAACGCAUUAAGCACUCCGCCUGGGGAGUACGACCGCAAGGUUGAAACUCAAAGGAAUUGACGGGGGCCCGCACAAGCGGUGGAGCA
rnacentral:rRNA from 1 species